GUGAUUCUCCUGCCUCAGCCUCCCGAGUUGCUGGAAUUACAGGAGGGCUCUGAGAGAUUUCAUUUCUGUCCUGCUGAUGAAGUCUACGUUCAUUCAGGGCCUGCUGUGGAAGACCAGCCCCAAAGGUGUGUUAUACUAAGUUGGCAGAUUCUAUCUUCAUCUAAUUCCUAAGUUAGACUUUUCUUACUUUUCUUACUCCUAGAGUUCUGUAUAGCAUGGCCUUCUUAUUUCUUGUAACAUUGCUUUUGGGAAUAAAAUGUUUGAAAAAA